CAAAAUACAUUGACCACUUAGUCGUUAGACAUAUCUGUCCACUCCUUCUCAACGGAGGCCUUCAGGAAAUCAAUAUUACUGUGGGGGACAGUGCAGGCCUUACUCUCACCAAAACUCAACACAAAAUUCCACAGUCCGAUGAUGAGGGGGCCACUUGUUUGGAGGCCAUAAAUCAUUGAGGGUUUCCUUGCACCAGGGUUGUUGGCAUCCAAGAAAGACUUCACAGCCUCUAUUAUAUCCUUCUUGUUGGCAAGGCUUCAAUUUCCAAGCCCACACCAGUCAAGAAGUAUUCAGUGACAAUCUUAUCGUAUCUUCCUCUUCCCGUAUUCCGAGAGAGGAGUUUGCCGCUUUUAAUGAGGCUACUAACCUUACAAACAAGCUCAGCAUAGCAUUCACAUGCCCACAACCUCGUUUAUAGAGUUAUGGGCGCGGAGAAAAUUUGCAAUUCACUGCCUAUUUUUCCCAUUGUCGUUGUUUGUUGACGUAUUGAACCAAUUAUACAGCGUAUGAAUGCUGAUAUAUUUUGGAACAAUUUGUUUAAUAACAGCGGUGUGAUUUGCUUCUGCACGCUCUAUAGGAUUCAAAGACAUUUCUGAGUCCAAGCUGAGUCCUGAGUUGUAGCUAUCGGGUCGAAAGUAAUCAAAGCAUGGAAUCAAGUCCAUGUCAAGACACAAGUAUCAAUUCGCCACUUUUGCUACUUACUGAAGAAUAGUACCAUAGUUAUAAAUAAUUGUCUAACUCUGGUCUUUUUUCUGUUUCUUAUUGUGGAGGAAAGUUUGCCAAAUACAAUGAAGAUUGUUAUUUACAAGAUCUAAGUAGAGUUCAAUGUCUUUUGUAAAGUCUUUCAAGUAUUAACUCAAAACUCCAAAUCCAUAAAAUAUUUUUAUCGAGUCCAAUUGCCAUCUCAUAUUUCUUUCAUAAUUAUUUAUUUGUUGAUUUGAGUCUGAAGGCUUUUCGUUAAUCCAGUAUAAAUUAUUUACCAAAAUAAAUCAAAAAUAAUGGACCCUAUCAAAUCUCAACUUAUUAAUUGCUACUAUUUUGAUGUUUUUGCUAUCUAGAAUUUUGAAUUAUUUCCCAAUAGAAUGUACUUUGAAAAGUAUUUAAUAUCGACUGAAAAAAUGGAUUAUGAGAAAAUUCCUAAAAAAGUCCUUUCACAUUAAUGUCAAAUUUCAAAUCUUUAAUUUUGAACUCAUAUUAAAUUGUUAAUCUUCAAAAUAUAGACUCGAGUAAUUUACGUAAUUCCUUAUCUACCCAUUCAUUUUGAUUACUUUAAAAUUAAGGUUAGAAUGAUGCAAUCAAAAACCCUAUUAAUUACAUUAUUGAUCUUUUUACCAUGUUGACAUAAAUUACUUUUGUCCCUUGGUGACACAUUUUAUUUUGUUAUAAAAAAAUGUGUUUAUUACACUCCAAAUGUAAAAUUAAUAUUAAUUAUUCGAUUGUAUAUGUGUACAUUAAUAUGAAAUGAAUUAUAUAAAAAAUAUUUAACUAUA
rnacentral:lncRNA from 1 species